AUGAAGCACCGGCAACUGCAUUUUCUCUCUAUUAGACAUUAAAUAAAUGAUUGCACUUACUUCCAAUCAGACAUCAAAUAAAUGAAAGUAUGGAAAGAGUGCUUUAAAAAGUGUCAAUGUAACGUCCAAAAGGAAACUCACAAACCCCAGAUGACGGUAGCAGGAAAGACAAGAGGGAAUAGAGUGUGGUACAGAAAGUCCAACCAAU
rnacentral:lncRNA from 1 species